UUCAGUGUUCCCAACACCUAAGAGAGAUAGCUUUUGUAACAAUCCUUAGAGAAGUGCCACCCCCUCGUUGAUGUCAGCUUAUCUGAAGAGACCUCUUGACCUGAAGUCCAGCAGAAAUUGCCAACAUAUGUUCAGAUUGUUUUCAUACAAGCAAAGAAGAAAUGGAAUGGUACAAGAUUGGAAACUGCAUUUAUUUUAACUUGUGGGUGAGUCUGAGAAAGUAUCAAGGUGGAGUUAUUUGUUUGUGGGUCUGGGUGUUUUUUGAUGUAUUACUGCUGGUAAUUGUCUACUCAGAUAUUGGUUAUUUCACCUUCGUAAUGGUUUUAAAUUAAGAUCUGAUAGUAAAGCGUGAAGAGCAGGGGAAAAGAAAAAGGUCUUCUACAAGUAACCCAAAUCAGGCCACAGGUUUUGACUAGCAGAAAGACUAUAUUUAAGGAUCCUCACUGGAAGACAAACAGCAACAUCCAAAAUACUAUGGUUUUGUUUUCCAUUUCCACUUAAUGAUUAGCAGGAAGGUGUUAGAGAGUUUCCCCUUGAUGACAGCAAGAAGAUCUUACACAGAGGUUCCCAAAGCAGAGGUGAGACCUUGGAACAAGUUAAGGUAAUAGUGAGUGAGGCUGUAAGGAUAAGAAACAUCAUUUCACGUGAUCUCAAUGUGUUUGAGGCCAAACAAAUUUAGCAUUAUGAAGGCAAGGUCUGUGAACUGCUGAUCUAUUAAUUGCUGAACAGUGAACUGGGAUUUAGGAGACCCAAAGAUAAGACUGAGACCCUCUCUAUGAUUUCGCGUGACCCGUUCAUCUACCCUAUGGUUCAAUUUCACCAUUAAAAAAUAAAUGUAGUAAUUUCCUUCAUGCUAUGGUUGGCCAGAUGCUACAGUAAUAGAGCACAGAGCAAUAUGGGGUUUCAUCAUGGUCUGUAGUCAAUAGUAAAUUGCAUCUUGCAGCUCCACGAUGAAGUUGAUAAUAUCCUCUGAGACAUGGAAAGAACCACAGUUUCUGCAACAGAGCGGCACAGCCUGGUGUGAGGAGAAGAAAUCCUUCUUCUGAUUUAUUAGACAGGAUUCAGAAGAGCCCAGCUUCUCCAGCACAGCACCAAACACAAAGGAUGUUGCCUGAACUCUCCCUGUUUGCCAGGAUAUCAGUGUCAAACACAGCCCUCCUUAAAAACCUCUCCUUGUACUGUGUAUUUGCAAGAGAAGAGGGUCACAGUAUAGAAAACAGCUAUUACAGUAGGUAGUACGUUUCAUUUCACUCAUGUUGGCAAUGGUCAGUCCUUUUAACUGUGGGUUUAGCUACCAUUUGGCUUUAACUGGAUAGGCAGAGCUGCAGCAGUGAUCGAGUGGCAGGUUUUCACUUUUGCAUGGAGGUGUCUGACAUUCCAGCAUACACAAUAUAUGUUUUCUCUGCUAAAAAUAAGGAGAGUGGUCUGAUUGUCCAGUGUGAUUGUUUGGCUGGAGGAGAAGGAGGAGGAGAGAAGCAAGAGGGUGGAUCAAUGACACAUGACUGCUGAGAACUUCUCCCUUGUGUGGAAUGUUUAUGGCUACAGCACAGGCUAUUCUGGAACCCCUUAUAUGGUUUGAAUUUAUUUUUAAUAACCUUUCUCUUUGUGUUUUUUUUUUUUUUUUAAUAUUACGUUACCUUGCUGUUAAACUUUUUUUGUGGGAAAGAAACAAUCCAUACUUCAUCCCAGACCUGUCUUGCUCUGCUUUCCUAAGUGUGUCCCAAGAAUAUUUUAAGACAGGUAAGAAAUCUAUGAUAUAAAAGGAGAAACCCCAC